GACGAACGCUGGCGGCGUGCCUAAUACAUGCAAGUCGAACGCACUCUCGUUUAGAUUGAAGGAGCUUGCUCCUGAUUGAUAAACAUUUGAGUGAGUGGCGGACGGGUGAGUAACACGUGGGUAACCUGCCCUAAAGUGGGGGAUAACAUUUGGAAACAGAUGCUAAUACCGCAUAAAACCUAACACCGCAUGGUGUAGGGUUGAAAGAUGGUUUCGGCUAUCACUUUAGGAUGGACCCGCGGUGCAUUAGUUAGUUGGUGAGGUAAAGGCUCACCAAGACCGUGAUGCAUAGCCGACCUGAGAGGGUAAAUCGGCCACACUGGGACUGAGACACGGCCCAGACUCCUACGGGAGGCAGCAGUAGGGAAUCUUCCACAAUGGACGAAAGUCUGAUGGAGCAACGCCGCGUGAGUGAAGAAGGUUUCGGAUCGUAAAACUCUGUUGUUGGAGAAGAAUGUAUCUGAUAGUAACUGAUCAGGUAGUGACGGUAUCCGAACCAGAAAGCCACGG
rnacentral:rRNA from 1 species